AACUCUUAAGAAAUUAGGAGGUGCCUCUUGAGGAGCUCGGUGACAGGUGCUGCAUGGCUGUCGUCAGCUCGUGUCGUGAGAUGUUGGGUUAAGUCCCGCAACGAGCGCAACCCUUGUCUUUAGUUGCCAUCAUUUAGUUGGGCACUCUAAAGAGACUGCCGGUGUCAAACCGGAGGAAGGUGGGGAUGACGUCAAGUCCUCAUGGCCUUUAUGACCAGGGCUACACACGUACUACAAUGGCAUAGACAAAGGGCAGCGACAUCGCGAGGUGAAGCGAAUCCCAUAAACUAUGUCUCAGUCCGGAUUGGAGUCUGCAACUCGACUCCAUGAAGUUGGAAUCGCUAGUAAUCGUAGAUCAGCAUGCUACGGUGAAUACGUUCCCGGGCCUUGUACACACCGCCCGUCACACCACGGGAGUUGGUUGUACCAGAAGCAGUUGAGCGAACUAUUCGUAGACGCAGGCUGCCAAGGUAUGAUUGGUAACUGGGGUGAAGUCGUAACAAGGUA
rnacentral:rRNA from 1 species